UGCAGAAGGGCUGGUGUUCAAUCGGGUUUCAUAUGCCUGACUCGGUGGGUUCGAUUCCCACUUCUGCAACCA
rnacentral:tRNA from 1 species